CUACGGGAGGCUGCAGUGGGGAAUAUUGCACAAUGGGGGAAACCCUGAUGCAGCAACGCCGCGUGGAGGAUGACGCAUUUCGGUGUGUAAACUCCUUUUAUAUAGGAAGAUAAUGACGGUACUAUAUGAAUAAGCACCGGCUAACUCCGUGCCAGCAGCCGCGGUAAUACGGAGGGGUGCAAGCGUUACUCGGAAUCACUGGGCGUAAAGCGCGCGCAGGCGGCCUUUUAAGUUGGAUGUGAAAGCCUAUGGCUUAACCAUAGCACUGCAUCCAAAACUAUCAGGCUAGAGUCUGGGAGGGGAAGAUGGAAUUAGUUGUGUAGGGGUAAGAUCCGUAGAGAUAACUAGGAAUACCAAAAGCGAAGGCGAUCUUCUGGAACAGUACUGACGCUGAGGCGCGAAAGCGUGGGGAGCAAACAGGAUUAGAUACCCUGGUAGUC
rnacentral:rRNA from 1 species